CAAAAGGGUAAAAGAACUUAUGAAUCAAACGACGCCGUAUAACUCAAAAAUUCACAAUUUUACCAAAAGUUUUUAUUCUCGUUCUCGUGUAUAUUGAUUGACUCAGUUUCUCGUUCCAUCGUACGCGACCCUCUUCUUCCUCAAAAUUCUCAUAAAAGUAAAUUGAAAUGGGAUCAAGACACCGUGUUCAUAGAGAGCCGCCAAUGAGUUCCCGAAGAGGGUAUCCAUCGGAAGGUCCUUAUGCUCGUGGGCCACCACCAAUGCCACGGCAGCAUAUUCCACCUCAUCCGGCAUUGUUAGAGGAAGAGCUUGAAGUGCAGCAUGCUGAAAUGAGGAGGCUGGUGGCGGAUAACAGGAGGUUGAUUGAUGAUCGGAUGACGUUGCAGCGAGACCUUGCAGCUGCGAAGGAGGAGCUUCAUCGCAUGAAUUUAGCGAUUGGUGAUAUUCGUGCUGAACAUGAGAUGCAUUCGAGGGAGCUUGUUGAUAAAAAUAUGAAGUUAGAGUCUGAUCUUAGGUCGACUGAGCCGUUGAAGAAUGAAGUUAUACAACUGCGAGCUGAAGUUCAAAAACUUAGUAGUAUCAAACAAGAACUUUCCGGGAAGGUUCAGACACUAACGAAAGAUGUUGCUAGGUUACAGUCUGAUAAUCAACAAAUUCCCUCGAUGAGAUCUGAGAUUGAUGGUUUGCACCAAGAACUGAUGCGUGCUAGAACAAUGGUGGAUUAUGAAAAGAAGGCAAACAUGGAGUUCAUGGAACAGAGGCAGUCAAUGGAGAAAAACAUGGUUUCCAUGGCCCGAGAAGUUGAGAAACUUCGUGCUGAGCUUGCUAGCAUGGAUGGAAGACAUUGGGGAGCUGGUUUGCCUUAUGGAACAAAUUUUGGUAGUCCAGAGGGGGGUUUCCCACCUCCAUAUGCAGAUGGAUAUGGUGUUCACAUGGCUGCUGCAGAGAAAGGUCCUCUUUAUGGGGUGGGUACUGCUUCUAGGAAAGCACAUGAGAAGCCUCGCUCAAACCGUCGUUGAAUCCAAGUGAUUGAUGUUGGUGAUGAAGAAAGGCCUGCCAUCCCUUUGGCUGUGUUAGCGGAGUAGCGGAUUGAUGUCCUGUGUAUGCAUGCCAUUUUAAUGAUGAAGAGCUGGAAAUCAUGUUUGGGACUGAAAAGUAAGGAUACAUCCCCCACACAACUUUUGACCAUAACGCUGCGAGAUUUUGCGGAAAACCGAGAUGUUCUUCAUUAGUUGAAACUGCAAAACCGGGUGAAAUGUAUUAUGGGCUGAGGGCAAGUAGGGCACAGAGAUGUAUUUUUCCCUGUGAUGGAUCAAGAUAACACAUAUUAGCCUGCCUUUGUUGUGUUUUAAUAUUUUAGCCGUGAGAUUGGAAAUGAAAGCUUUAAAAGGUAUGGUGGAAUGUUUUGAACAUGAAAAUAAAAAGCUUUUAAGGAGGGAUACAUCAAUAAGAUAUAUUGAGGUUUUGUUGGUACAUGCAGACUACGCAGAACUCAGAAACCAGGAUAGUCAUGUUUUGUUCGUUUGGGUUGUCCUCCUUGGUGCCUUACCAUAUGCUUUCAGCUUGGUUGAUGAAAGAGUUUAUCAGCAGGGUGGUUUAGUAUUUUUAUGCCGAUGGUUUAAUUGUGAUUGGUCAUGGUUCUCCUGAUUUCCAAAUUUUAGAUUGUCACCCCCUCCCUCUUUUUUUUUUUUUUUUUUUUUUUUCCCUUUUUCUUUUUCCUUUAGUUGGGCUAACAUUUGAGUAGAUGACAUUACUUUUCCCACCCUAUGAGUUUCUUGCACGCCUUAUUCGGAUUUUAAAAUCUGAAAUGUUUCAACGUGUUUUGGAGGUUUUUACAGGGUAUUUAUGUCGUUUGGAUUCUAUAAUCCGAACUGCAUAGGGAGUGCGGGAAACUCGUAGGGUGGGGAGAAAAAAGCGGUCUGAGUAGAUACCCUAUAAUUUAUUACAAAGUGUAGGAAAUGUACCUACUAAUGGGGGGCAUUUAGAUGUGAGAGUAGGAAGAAUAAAUUUUAACCAUUUAAUCAUGCAUAUAGUUGAUGAAACUUCCAAGUUCUUAAAUUGUAGUUAGUCUAGUAGUUAAAUGAAGUAAAAUUUAAGCCACUAGGAUUUGGAUGGUAUGCAGGAGGUCCUAGUUUGAA